UACGAAGGGGGCUAGCGUUGCUCGGAAUCACUGGGCGUAAAGCGCACGUAGGCGGAUUCUUAAGUCAGGGGUGAAAUCCUGGAGCUCAACUCCAGAACUGCCUUUGAUACUGAGGGUCUUGAGUUCGGGAGAGGUGAGUGGAACUGCGAGUGUAGAGGUGAAAUUCGUAGAUAUUCGCAAGAACACCAGUGGCGAAGGCGGCUCACUGGCCCGGUACUGACGCUGAGGUGCGAAAGCGUGGGGAGCAAACAGG
rnacentral:rRNA from 1 species